rnacentral:rRNA from 1 species
AGCGAACGCUGGCGGCAGGCCUAACAUAUGCAAGUCGAACGGACCUUUCGGGGUUAGUGGCGGACGGGUGAGUAACACGUGGGAACGUGCCUUUAGGUUCGGAAUAGCUCCUGGAAACGGGUGGUAAUGCCGAAUGUGCCCUUCGGGGGAAAGAUUUAUCGCCUUUAGAGCGGCCCGCGUCUGAUUAGCUAGUUGGUGAGGUAAUGGCUCACCAAGGCGACGAUCAGUAGCUGGUCUGAGAGGAUGACCAGCCACAUUGGGACUGAGACACGGCCCAAACUCCUACGGGAGGCAGCAGUGGGGAAUCUUGCGCAAUGGGCGAAAGCCUGACGCAGCCAUGCCGCGUGGAUGAUGAAGGUCUUAGGAUUGUAAAAUCCUUUCACCGGUGAAGAUAAUGACUGUAGCCGGAGAAGAAGCCCCGGCUAACUUCGUGCCAGCAGCCGCAGUAAUAC